rnacentral:rRNA from 1 species
UACGUAGGGAGCAAGCGUUGUCCGGAAUCAUUGGGCGUAAAGCGCGCGUAGGUGGCUCUGUAAGUCCGUUGUGAAAGUCAAAGGCUCAACCUUUGAAAGCCGAUGGAUACUGCAGAGCUAGAGUACGGAAGAGGCGAGUGGAAUUCCUGGUGUAGCGGUGGAAUGCGCAGAUAUCAGGAGGAACACCAAUAGCGAAGGCAGCUCGCUGGGACGUUACUGACACUGAGGCACGAAAGCAUGGGGAGCAAAAGGG